GGGGAAUAUUGGACAAUGGGCGAAAGCCUGAUCCAGCCAUGCCGCGUGUGUGAAGAAGGUCUUCGGAUUGUAAAGCACUUUAAGUUGGGAGGAAGGGCUGCAAGUUAAUACCUUGUAGUUUUGACGGUACCGUAAGAAUAAGCACCGGCUAACUACGUGCCAGCAGCCGCGGUAAUACGUAGGGUGCAAGCGUUAAUCGGAAUUACUGGGCGUAAAGCGUGCGCAGGCGGUUUUGUAAGACAGGUGUGAAAUCCCCGGGCUUAACCUGGGAACUGCGCUUGUGACUGCCAGGCUAGAGUACGGCAGAGGGGGGUGGAAUUCCACGUGUAGCAGUGAAAUGCGUAGAGAUGUGGAGGAACACCGAUGGCGAAGGCAGCCCCCUGGGCCUGUACUGACGCUCAUGCACGAAAGCGUGGGGAGCAAACA
rnacentral:rRNA from 1 species